ACGUGUAUGUUAGUAUUACAUCUUUAGUUUCUUGAAGAUAUCUAGAACCUUAUUUACAACUUGCUAAUAUAUUUGGCUAGGGUCACUUUCAUAUCUAAUGAAGAAUGAUAAGUUUUUGUGGGUAUGUAUUUACCACCGGAUCAUAAGUCAUGAUAUACAGGAUUGUUUCGUCCUAAAGAAGAAGAUUAAAAGACAGAUUUAUUUAACCUUAGCCCGCCAGCCAGAUCUAAAGGCGCUUGCGAGUCCUCUUUCUCUGGUCAUAAACCCCCUUUCAUUCGCUUUCCGCCCUCGCCGUGACCUAGCCGCCAGCACUUCACUUAUAAAUAAAGCGGGACCGAGGGAUUGAUAUUAGCUAACCGCCUUCCCAGCAAACGGAGGCCGCUCGAAAGCCCUAUAGAGUAAGGUGCGCAGGAGCGCACUGGAGUUUUCGGAGCUGGCUUCAAAGCCCGUCCCAAAGCACUUCUCGGAGGUGAAAAGACACCGACGGAGGACGUCACCUUUCUCUUUUAAAGAAUGGCCUUUACCCUAUGCCGAUUCCCACUUUCACUCUUUNNNN
rnacentral:lncRNA from 1 species